AAGACUAUACUUUCAGGGAUCAUUUCUAUAGUUUGUUACUAAAAACUUGUCAUUGAUAGUCACUAGAAUUAUAAUUUAAAGGAGUCUGA
ensembl:snoRNA U3 Small nucleolar RNA U3